rnacentral:lncRNA from 1 species
GUAUUUAUAAAAUAAUUUACCAGAGUUAGGUUUCCAGCUUUAUGGAGAAAACAAGGUUUAUCAUAGGCAAACAGAUGGUUUCCUGAAAUUAUUAUCUUUUUCUCUGUUCAAAAGACACAGUAAUAGGAUAUCAGCAGUCCCUGGCGAGUGCAACCAUUCUCUUGAGCCUCUGACAUCAGGACAUCAGGAGCUGUUUCAGCUGCUACCAUCACCUAUGAAUCUCCCAGGACAAUUUCAGAAAAACAUGUUUUUACCAGAGGAUGCAGUUGGUAGCAGGGCUCGUCAGCUGGGGCAGUGCUGAUGAUUCUGAGGAGAAGCCAGGACAGCAAAGGUGAGACUGUGGUUCCAGCCCUGGGCUGUGUCUGCCUCUGAGGGG